rnacentral:rRNA from 1 species
UGUUUACCUGUGUGACUGCGUACCUUUUGUAUAAUGGGUCAGCGACUUAUAUUCUGUAGCAAGGUUAACCGAAUAGGGGAGCCGGAGGGAAACCGAGUCUUAAUUGGGCGUUAAGUUGCAGGGUAUAGACCCGAAACCCGGUGAUCUAGCCAUGGGCAGGUUGAAGGUUGGGUAACACUAACUGGAGGACCGAACCGACUAAUGUUGAAAAAUUAGCGGAUGACCUGUGGCUGGGGGUGAAAGGCCAAUCAAACCGGGAGAUAGCUGGUUCUCCCCGAAAGCUAUUUAGGUAGCGCCUCGUGAAUUCAUCUCCGGGGGUAGAGCACUGUUUCGGCUAGGGGGCCAUCCCGGCUUACCAACCCGAUGCAAACUGCGAAUACCGGAGAAUGUUAUCACGGGAGACACACGGCGGGUGCUAACGUCCGUCGUGAAGAGGGAAACAACCCAGACCGCCAGCUAAGGUCCCAAAGUCAUGGUUAAGUGGGAAACGAUGUGGGAAGGCCCAGACAGCCAGGAUGUUGGCUUAGAAGCAGCCAUCAUUUAAAGAAAGCGUAAUAGCUCACUGGUCGAGUCGGCCUGCGCGGAAGAUGUAACGGGGCUAAACCAUGCACCGAAGCUGCGGCAGCGANNGUUGGGUAGGGGAGCGUUCUGUAAGCCUGUGAAGGUGGCCUGUGAGGGUUGCUGGAGGUAUCAGAAGUGCGAAUGCUGACAUAAGUAACGAUAAAGCGGGUGAAAAGCCCGCUCGCCGGAAGACCAAGGGUUCCUGUCCAACGUUAAUCGGGGCAGGGUGAGUCGACCCCUAAGGCGAGGCCGAAAGGCGUAGUCGAUGGGAAACGGGUUAAUAUUCCCGUACUUGGUGUUACUGCGAAGGGGGGACGGAGAAGGCUAUGUUGGCCGGGCGACGGUUGUCCCGGUUUAAGCGUGUAGGUGUGUGUUCCAGGUAAAUCCGGUUCACUUUAACACUGAGGCGUGAUGACGAGGCACUACGGUGCUGAAGUAACAAAUGCCCUGCUUCCAGGAAAAGCCUCUAAGCAUCAGGUAACAUCAAAUCGUACCCCAAACCGACACAGGUGGUCAGGUAGAGAAUACCAAGGCGCUUGAGAGAACUCGGGUGAAGGAACUAGGCAAAAUGGUGCCGUAACUUCGGGAGAAGGCACGCUGACACGUAGGUGAAGUGAUUUACUCACGGAGCUGAAGUCAGUCGAAGAUACCAGCUGGCUGCAACUGUUUAUUAAAAACACAGCACUGUGCAAACACGAAAGUGGACGUAUACGGUGUGACGCCUGCCCGGUGCCGGAAGGUUAAUUGAUGGGGUCAGCGCAAGCGAAGCUCCUGAUCGAAGCCCCGGUAAACGGCGGCCGUAACUAUAACGGUCCUAAGGUAGCGAAAUUCCUUGUCGGGUAAGUUCCGACCUGCACGAAUGGCGUAAUGAUGGCCAGGCUGUCUCCACCCGAGACUCAGUGAAAUUGAACUCGCUGUGAAGAUGCAGUGUACCCGCGGCAAGACGGAAAGACCCCGUGAACCUUUACUAUAGCUUGACACUGAACAUUGAGCCUUGAUGUGUAGGAUAGGUGGGAGGCUUUGAANNCCGGGUUGCGGACAGUGUCUGGUGGGUAGUUUGACUGGGGCGGUCUCCUCCUAAAGAGUAACGGAGGAGCACGAAGGUUGGCUAAUCCUGGUCGGACAUCAGGAGGUUAGUGCAAUGGCAUAAGCCAGCUUGACUGCGAGCGUGACGGCGCGAGCAGGUGCGAAAGCAGGUCAUAGUGAUCCGGUGGUUCUGAAUGGAAGGGCCAUCGCUCAACGGAUAAAAGGUACUCCGGGGAUAACAGGCUGAUACCGCCCAAGAGUUCAUAUCGACGGCGGUGUUUGGCACCUCGAUGUCGGCUCAUCACAUCCUGGGGCUGAAGUAGGUCCCAAGGGUAUGGCUGUUCGCCAUUUAAAGUGGUACGCGAGCUGGGUUUAGAACGUCGUGAGACAGUUCGGUCCCUAUCUGCCGUGGGCGCUGGAGAACUGAGGGGGGCUGCUCCUAGUACGAGAGGACCGGAGUGGACGCAUCACUGGUGUUCGGGUUGUCAUGCCAAUGGCACUGCCCGGUAGCUAAAUGCGGAAGAGAUAAGUGCUGAAAGCAUCUAAGCACGAAACUUGCCCCGAGAUGAGUUCUCCCUGAGACUUAAAGUCUCCUGAAGGAACGUUGAAGACGACGACGUUGAUAGGCCGGGUG